rnacentral:rRNA from 1 species
AUGAACGCUAGCUACAGGCUUAACACAUGCAAGUCGAGGGGCAGCAGGAUCUAGCAAUAGAUUGCUGGCGACCGGCGCACGGGUGAGUAACACGUAUCCAACCUGCCGAUAACUCGGGGAUAGCCUUUCGAAAGAAAGAUUAAUACCCGAUGGUAUAAUCAGACCGCAUGGUCUUGUUAUUAAAGAAUUUCGGUUAUCGAUGGGGAUGCGUUCCAUUAGGCAGUUGGUGAGGUAACGGCUCACCAAACCUUCGAUGGAUAGGGGUUCUGAGAGGAAGGUCCCCCACAUUGGAACUGAGACACGGUCCAAACUCCUACGGGAGGCAGCAGUGAGGAAUAUUGGUCAAUGGGCGCAGGCCUGAACCAGCCAAGUAGCGUGAAGGAUGACUGCCCUAUGGGUUGUAAACUUCUUUUAUAUGGGAAUAAAGUUUUCCACGUGUGGAAUUUUGUAUGUACCAUAUGAAUAAGGAUCGGCUAACUCCGUGCCAGCAGCCGCGGUAAUACGGAGGAUCCGAGCGUUAUCCGGAUUUAUUGGGUUUAAAGGGAGCGUAGGUGGACAGUUAAGUCAGUUGUGAAAGUUUGCGGCUCAACCGUAAAAUUGCAGUUGAUACUGGCUGUCUUGAGUACAGUAGAGGUGGGCGGAAUUCGUGGUGUAGCGGUGAAAUGCUUAGAUAUCACGAAGAACUCCGAUUGCGAAGGCAGCUCACUGGACUGCAACUGACACUGAUGCUCGAAAGUGUGGGUAUCAAACAGGAUUAGAUACCCUGGUAGUCCACACAGUAAACGAUGAAUACUCGCUGUUUGCGAUAUACAGUAAGCGGCCAAGCGAAAGCAUUAAGUAUUCCACCUGGGGAGUACGCCGGCAACGGUGAAACUCAAAGGAAUUGACGGGGGCCCGCACAAGCGGAGGAACAUGUGGUUUAAUUCGAUGAUACGCGAGGAACCUUACCCGGGCUUAAAUUGCAUUUGAAUAUAUUGGAAACAGUAUAGCCGUAAGGCAAAUGUGAAGGUGCUGCAUGGUUGUCGUCAGCUCGUGCCGUGAGGUGUCGGCUUAAGUGCCAUAACGAGCGCAACCCUUAUCUUUAGUUACUAACAGGUCAUGCUGAGGACUCUAGAGAGACUGCCGUCGUAAGAUGUGAGGAAGGUGGGGAUGACGUCAAAUCAGCACGGCCCUUACGUCCGGGGCUACACACGUGUUACAAUGGGGGGUACAGAGGGCCGCUGUCCGGUGACGGUCGGCCAAUCCCUAAAACUCCUCUCAGUUCGGACUGGAGUCUGCAACCCGACUCCACGAAGCUGGAUUCGCUAGUAAUCGCGCAUCAGCCAUGGCGCGGUGAAUACGUUCCCGGGCCUUGUACACACCGCCCGUCAAGCCAUGAAAGCCGGGGGUACCUGAAGUACGUAACCGCAAGGAGCGUCCUAGGGUAAAACUGGUAAUUGGGGCU